rnacentral:rRNA from 1 species
GGCGAACGCUGGCGGCGUGCUUAACACAUGCCAGUUGAACGAGAAUUUUUCGAGUGAUUUCUUCGGAAUGAUCAUGAAAAAGGAAAGUAGCGAACGGGUGAGUAACACGUGAGAAACCUGCCUUUCACAAAGGGAUAGCCUCGGGAAACCGGGAUUAAUACCUUAUGAAACCAAACACUCGCAUGAGAGAUUGGUUAAAGAUUUAUCGGUGUUAGAUGGUCUCGCGUCUGAUUAGCUAGUUGGUGGGAUAAAAGCCUACCAAGGCAACGAUCAGUAGCCGGAUUGAGAGGGUGAACGGCCACACUGGAACUGAGACACGGUCCAGACUCCUACGGGAGGCAGCAGUGGGGAAUUUUGCACAAUGGAGGAAACUCUGAUGCAGCGACGCCGCGUGAGUGAUGAAGGUCUUCGGAUUGUAAAACUCUGUCCUUAGUGAAGAUAAUGACAGUAACUAAGAAGCAAGCCCUGGCUAAAUACGUG